rnacentral:rRNA from 1 species
UACGUAGGGUGCAAGCGUUGUCCGGAUUUAUUGGGCGUAAAGAGCUCGUAGGCGGUCUGUCGCGUCGGAUGUGAAAACCCAGGGCUCAACUCCGGGCCUGCAGUCGAUACGGGCAGACUGGAGUUCGGCAGGGGAGACUGGAAUUCCUGGUGUAGCGGUGAAAUGCGCAGAUAUCAGGAGGAACACCGGUGGCGAAGGCGGGUCUCUGGGCCGAUACUGACGCUGAGGAGCGAAAGCGUGGGGAGCGAACAGG